rnacentral:tRNA from 1 species
GCUCGGUUAGCUCAGCAGGUCAGAGCACCCGCCUGUCACGCGGGAGGUCGCCGGUUCGAUCCCGGUACCGGGCG